rnacentral:rRNA from 1 species
UGCCUAACACAUGCAAGUCGAACGGUAACAGGAGAGAGCUUGCUCUCUUGCUGACGAGUGGCGGACGGGUGAGUAAUGCAUAGGAAUCUGCCCAUUAGUGGGGGACAACUUGGGGAAACUCAAGCUAAUACCGCAUACGCCCUACGGGGGAAAGCAGGGGAUCUUUCGGGACCUUGCGCUAUUGGAUGAGCCUAUGUCUGAUUAGCUAGUUGGUGAGGUAAUGGCUCACCAAGGCGGCGAUCAGUAGCUGGUCUGAGAGGAUGAUCAGCCACACUGGGACUGAGACACGGCCCAGACUCCUACGGGAGGCAGCAGUGGGGAAUAUUGGACAAUGGGGGCAACCCUGAUCCAGCAAUGCCGCGUGUGUGAAGAAGGCCUGCGGGUUGUAAAGCACUUUCAGUUGGGAAGAAAAGCUUAGGGUUAAUAACCCUGAGUCUUGACGUUACCAUCAGAAGAAGCACCGGCUAACUCUGUGCCAGCAGCCGCGGUAAUACAGAGGGUGCGAGCGUUAAUCGGAAUUACUGGGCGUAAAGCGCGCGUAGGCGGCUUGGUCAGUCGGAUGUGAAAGCCCUGGGCUCAACCUGGGAAUUGCAUUCGAUACUGCCAGGCUAGAGUAUGGGAGAGGGAAGUGG